rnacentral:rRNA from 1 species
GCGCGGGAAUUCGAUUGGGGGWACAACAGAAUGGUGCUAAUACCGCAUAAGCGCACAGGACCGCAUGGUCUGGUGUGAAAAACUCCGGUGGUAUAAGAUGGACCCGCGUUGGAUUAGCUAGUUGGCAGGGUAACGGCCUACCAAGGCGACGAUCCAUAGCCGGCCUGAGAGGGUGAACGGCCACAUUGGGACUGAGACACGGCCCAGACUCCUACGGGAGGCAGCAGUGGGGAAUAUUGCACAAUGGGGGAAACCCUGAUGCAGCGACGCCGCGUGAAGGAAGAAGUAUCUCGGUAUGUAAACUUCUAUCAGCAGGGAAGAUAGUGACGGUACCUGACUAAGAAGCCCCGGCUAACUACGUGCCAGCAGCCGCGGUAAUACGUAGGGGGCAAGCGUUAUCCGGAUUUACUGGGUGUAAAGGGAGCGUAGACAGACUGGCAAGUCUGAUGUGAAAGGCGGGGGCUCAACCCCUGGACUGCAUUGGAAACUGUAAGUCUUGAGUGCCGGAGAGGUAAGCGGAAUUCCUAGUGUAGCGGUGAAAUGCGUAGAUAUUAGG